rnacentral:sRNA from 1 species
CAGCAGGUUCGAGCCGAACGUAGUGAGGCACCGGAGCCGUUUACGGCGACGGCCCGAAGGGCGAGCGAAGCGAGUCAUCCUGCACGACCCACCA